rnacentral:rRNA from 1 species
UUAGAGUUUGAUCCUGGCUCAGGAUGAACGCUAGCUACAGGCUUAACACAUGCAAGUCGAGGGGGCAUCAAGGAGAAAGCUUGCUUUCUUUGCUGGCGACCGGCGCACGGGUGAGUAACACGUAUCCAACCUGCCCUUUACUCGGGGAUAGCCUUUCGAAAGAAAGAUUAAUACAAGAUGGCAUCAUGAGUCCGCAUGUUCACAUGAUUAAAGGUAUUCCGGUAGACGAUGGGGAUGCGUUCCAUUAGAUAGUAGGCGGGGUAACGGCCCACCUAGUCUUCGAUGGAUAGGGGUUCUGAGAGGAAGGUCCCCCACAUUGGAACUGAGACACGGUCCAAACUCCUACGGGAGGCAGCAGUGAGGAAUAUUGGUCAAUGGGCGAGAGCCUGAACCAGCCAAGUAGCGUGAAGGAUGACUGCCCUAUGGGUUGUAAACUUCUUUUAUAAAGGAAUAAAGUCGGGUAUGGAUACCCGUUUGCAUGUACUUUAUGAAUAAGGAUCGGCUAACUCCGUGCCAGCAGCCGCGGUAAUACGGAGGAUCCGAGCGUUAUCCGGAUUUAUUGGGUUUAAAGGGAGCGUAGAUGGAUGUUUAAGUCAGUUGUGAAAGUUUGCGGCUCAACCGUAAAAUUGCAGUUGAUACUGGAUAUCUUGAGUGCAGUUGAGGCAGGCGGAAUUCGUGGUGUAGCGGUGAAAUGCUUAGAUAUCACGAAGAACUCCGAUUGCGAAGGCAGCCUGCUAAGCUGCAACUGACAUUGAGGCUCGAAAGUGUGGGUAUCAAACAGGAUUAGAUACCCUGGUAGUCCACACGGUAAACGAUGAAUACUCGCUGUUUGCGAUAUACAGCAAGCGGCCAAGCGAAAACGUUAAGUAUUCCACCUGGGGAGUACGCCGGCAACGGUG